rnacentral:lncRNA from 1 species
GAAAUUAAUAAUUCUAUAAAAUGAAAUUGAAAAUUGGUAGCAGUAAAAGAAAGAAAUACAGGCUAAAUGUCUGCUUUGGGGGAUAAGGGAUGGAACCCAUCUUACCUUUACUCUCAAGAUUAACGACACAAAUUAAGCUUUUUGAACACCACUCUUGUGGGGACAUCCAUACGCUGAUCUAGAAAUUAAGGCUUCAUAGUCUCAAUUCUAGAUCAAUUAAUGCCAGUUUCUCUCUGGCUUUUGCCUUGGAGAACCUGUUUAAGGAAACAUAAGUAAUCCAGAGCUGUGAAGAGUUUAAAAGGCCCACUCACUCUCUCUGGGUCACCUGCAACCAAUAAUUGGGUACCUUUGAAUGAUGCAGGAGAGAUCCGAGUUCAUGAUGAGUUUCAAAGGCCAUGUUCAUUUAGGAACCAACUCUCUCUGGAUUCUCCUGCUGAGUUCCAGCAGGGUGAUGGGCUGAAAUCCCACCCACAAGCAAGACACCUGUGGAUCACCAACGAGGUGUAGUUGAAGAAGGCUUAAGUGAGAACUUGGUUAAAUGGAAAAAAGUACUGACAGUAGCUGGCCUUCUCCACAUACUCACAUAGUUUUAGAGCAGGAAAUGGGGUCAUCAGGCAAAAGAAGAGAUCAAGUCACUAGUAUUAAAGAAAUCAUCUCAAUGUGGUUGAUUUUUGACAUAGCUGCAAUUAUAGCAUUUUCUCCUAUUUUUUACACUAUGAAAAGGAGGAAAACAAACCAUUCACGGUCUAAGUAGCUAGAAAAGGUAGAUUCAUGGCUUGAAAAGGCAAAUUCUAGGCAUUCCUUCAAAGAUUAAUAUGUUAAAUCAGUAUUGAUGUUUGUUUUUUCAAACCUAGGGUUUUUAGCCUGGGUAUGUAGGUUGAGGCCAAGUCCCUCUGCA